rnacentral:misc_RNA from 1 species
AAACAAUUUAUGGCUAAUUUAUAGUGUGUAUUUAAAAUCCUUGAUUAUUUAUAGUAUUGUCAUUUUUCACUGCCAUAUUCCGAUAACAUAUUUUGUAUCAAAUCUCAACAUUGUAAAUAUCAUGAAAUGGUUGAUAGACACAUUCACUGACAGAUGAAAUAUGAAUAUUACAUGUAUGUUUAUGCUUCUUGUGGAAGGAGGAAAAUAAAGGCGAUAAAAUUAUUCAAACAAU